rnacentral:rRNA from 1 species
UACAGAGGGUGCAAGCGUUGUUCGGAAUUACUGGGCGUAAAGCGCGUGUAGGCUGCAGCGUAAGUCGGAUGUGAAAGCCCUUGGCUUAACCAAGGAAGUGCAUCUGAUACUGCGUCGCUUGAGUGUCGGAGGGGAUGGCGGAAUUCCCGGUGUAGAGGUGAAAUUCGUAGAUAUCGGGAGGAACACCUGUGGCGAAGGCGGCCAUCUGGACGAUAACUGACGCUGAGACGCGAAAGCGUGGGUAGCAAACAGG